ACGGCACAGUGAAAUGCUCCCCUGUGGUCACCACAGCUGGCCGUGGGUCUACACGGCACAGUGAAAUGCUCCCCCUGUGGUCACCACAGCUGGUUCUGCUGUUGUUUCUUGCAGAAGGGAAAGAGAGAGAUCUUUAAACGUGGGGAGUAAGCCAGGUGUGGUGGCCCAUUCCUUUAAUCCCAGCGCUUGGAAGGCAGAGGCAGGAGGAUCUCUGUGAGUUCGAGGCCAGCUUGGUGUGCAUAGCAAGUUCUGGGACAGCCAAGGCUACAUAGUACAUAGAGACCCUGUCACCAAAAAAAAAAAAAAAAAAAAGGGAUCCAGAGUAGUGCUGUCCUGGAGGGCAUGCGCCCUGAGAGUCGAGAGUACAAGGGUCUAAUCCCAAGAACCCUCUGUGUGUCUGCUCAGCACAGGACACAACUGGAAAAACCUCCAAGUGACUUUUGCUCCCUGGAAGAACUGUAUCCCCUCCCCCAACACACGCACUGGAAUCCAGAACAUUCAGGUAGCAGAUUAAAACAAAGCCACCUCCACUUGAGGCACCAAGAACAUGGAUGCUGUCGUCAAAGGCAAUGCACAGCCUGGAGUCACCUCCUGGGGAGUGAGAGACAGAGCUAUUAGCCACAGAGAAUUGAGGAACCCUCCACGAGUAUUCUGAACGGCUCUCUGGAGCACGCACUGGCCGUCCACCCCGUCCCCAGCUCUCCACACUAAGCCAAGCCCAGGAGCUAGCGUCAGCAAGAGCACGCAAGGUCCCUGUCCUUCCAUAGGCCUCCCUCUUUGUCACUCUGCCAGGGUGGGGUGAUAUUUACACCUUAAACCUUUACAUUUGUCAUGA